UGGGGAAUUUUGGACAAUGGGGGCAACCCUGAUCCAGCAAUGCCGCGUGAGUGAUGAAGGCCUUAGGGUUGUAAAGCUCUUUUACCAGGGAUGAUAAUGACAGUACCUGGAGAAUAAGCUCCGGCUAACUCCGUGCCAGCAGCCGCGGUAAUACGGAGGGAGCUAGCGUUGUUCGGAAUUACUGGGCGUAAAGCGUACGUAGGCGGUGACUCAAGUCAGAGGUGAAAGCCUGGAGCUCAACUCCAGAACUGCCUUUGAAACUAGGUCGCUAGAAUCACGGAGAGGUGAGUGGAAUUCCGAGUGUAGAGGUGAAAUUCGUAGAUAUUCGGAAGAACACCAGUGGCGAAGGCGGCUCACUGGACGUGUAUUGACGCUGAGGUACGAAAGCGUGGGGAGCAAACAGGAUUAGAUACCCCAGUAGUCCCUGAGCGGGCUGGCAAGGCGCAU
rnacentral:rRNA from 1 species